GGGCCCGUAGCCUAGCCAGGAUUAGGGCGUCGGCCUGCGGAGCCGAAGGUCGGGGGUUCAAAUCCCCCCGGGUCCG
rfam:Caldisphaera lagunensis DSM 15908, complete genome.